GGUCACCAUAGUAAUGAGAAACACCAGCCCAUCUGGGGCAUGGCAGUGAGACAUCAAGCUACAGUUUUUCACCUUCUGACAUAAACUGCCUCAGGUCUCUGAACUCUGCUCUGCACUGCCCCCACCCAAGGGUCAGAAGCCGAAAUGGGGGCAAGUCCUUUCCGGUGUCUGACUCACACCCUCCUUGCUGCCCCACGGCCCUGCGGCCCGGCCCCUACCUCCUCAUACAGUCGCCGCAGGAAGUCGAUCUCCUGGACCGGGGCCUCCGCGUUGGUCUCCAGGUCUGAUUUGUGCAGACGCUCCUCCCCGAUGUGCUCACCUCUUCUUGUAGUUCCCCAGCACCUCCUGCACGUGGUUGAGCUCCAAGACUGGGAGCUCACCUGGACCACAUCCCUCCAGCCCCUGACUACCUCUUCAGUGCAUAGCCCAGGAGGGAAGGUUCAGGAAA
rnacentral:lncRNA from 1 species